rnacentral:lncRNA from 1 species
GUGUAGCUGAGUACAUGGAGAUAUUUGAGGAUUUAAAAGCACAAGCUAUGCAAGCCUUAUCCAACCCACCUGAAUCCUACUAUAUUAGCAUCUUUACCAGUGGAUUGAAGGGGGAGAUUAAGUCCAUGGUCAAGAUGAUUAAACCGAAAGACCCUAACCCAAGCUUUAAAAUAGCUCAACUCCAAGAGAUCGCUCUUUCUGCUAUAAACAAGAACCCUAAACCCACUAAACCAUUUACUACAUCA